AGCCAACCUACGUUGAUUUUUGGGCCUGGCCCAGCGCGUGAGCGUCGUUGAGGAAAGACCGCAGAUAGCGCACAAUGCCCUGCCCUAGUCCCCUUUGUUUCCCGUAGUGGAUGACCACCGCCGACGCCAAGCUUCAGUCCCAAUCACAUCGCGGCCGAUCCGCCGAGGCCACAACGGCGGCGACGUAGGGGGAGCACGCCGCGGGUUGGCUCGUCAUCAGGCGGGAUGCUGCAAAAGCUUUAUCUCAAAGGUGUUUGCAUGGCUCCUUCCUUGCAGAAGAUUUGAACUUAAAUCUCCAGAAUCAAAGUUGUCAGAAAAUAUUGCUUUUGGAUCUGCAGACGGUAUCAAGGCUUAGAAGAUGGUUCUAAUGCUUCAUCAAAGAGGACAUGUAUAACGAGGUAUACUGGAUGUGUUGAUGAGGGCCGAGGUGGCGACUCCGACUUUCUAUAUGAUGCAGCCUUAUGUUCCUUAGCUAAACAUGGAGCAUUUCGUUCAGGGCUAGAUAUAUCGAUGGAGAUGGGCAUGGCAUGUGGUCCAUGGAGUCGCUCAAUGAUUCUCUUUGCUGUAGAGAUGCAAUAAUGGCAAGCAUUGGAUGUGAGAUUCUCACACAAAUUGCAUGCUUUAUGCCACGUGUAUUCUCCAUAUAUUGUAAGUAGUCUCUAAAAUGGGUAAUGCUACACCUACAUAGGAGAAGUUACGUACUUUACGUCCUAUACCCAUGUAAAGCCACGAAAGAUUUCUACGUUAACCUAUCUAAAUCCUUCUCUGCACCCCUGUUUUUCAGGUUGGUGGGGCCCA